UCGGGAAUUUUGGGCAAUGGGGGAAACCCUGACCCAGCAACGCCGCGUGAAGGAUGAAGUAUUUCGGUAUGUAAACUUCGAAAGAAUAGGAAGAAUAAAUGACGGUACUAUUUAUAAGGUCCGGCUAACUACGUGCCAGCAGCCGCGGUAAUACGUAGGGACCAAGCGUUGUUCGGAUUUACUGGGCGUAAAGGGCGCGUAGGCGGCAAUUCAAGUCAUCUGUGAAAUCUCCGGGCUUAACUCGGAACGGUCAGAUGAUACUGCUUUGCUAGAGUGCAGAAGGGGCAAUCGGAAUUCUUGGUGUAGCGGUGAAAUGCGUAGAUAUCAAGAGGAACACCUGAGGUGAAGACGGGUUGCUGGGCUGACACUGACGG
rnacentral:rRNA from 1 species